GCUUAUCUCAAUGCGCUCACAGGAAAUGGUGUUCAUGUGGUGACUGUUAAUGAUUAUUUGGCACAAUGUGAUGCUGAGUGGAUGGGUCAAAUUCAUCGCUUCCUUGGCCUUUCUGUUGGUCUCAUACAGAGGGGCAUGGAUGCUGCUGAGAGAAGAUCCAACUAUAAUUGUGACAUAACAUAUACAAACAAUUCGG